GUGGCCGCGUCUGUGGCAAGGGACAGUGACGCCGUAAAAAUGAGGUGGUGCUGGGAGACCAUUCAUGUUGACCAGCUGGAGGAGAAGGUGUCGUCCAUGAUAGGAGAGACGGUGGUAGAGGGCCUGCGCGACCGGUAAAUUAGAGCCUCCAAACAUGCCGGCAACCAUCCGUGAAGAUCAGUGGACAAAGGGCUGGACAACGGGCCGCUCCGAAAAAACACAUGGUUGCCAAGAAAGUGGCCACUGUAAUCGAUGGGGGCUCAGGGCGG